rnacentral:snRNA from 1 species
UGCAACAGUCUAUAGUAAUCCGAUAAAAUUGGAACGUUAGCAUGGCCCCUGCGCAAGGAUGAUACACACAAAUCGAGAAAUGGUCCAAAAAGAA